GAUUAACGCUAGCGGCAGGCCUAAUACAUGCAAGUUGAACGGGAUUGAUUGUAGCAAUACGGUCAUGAGAGUAGCGCACGGGUGCGUAACACGUAUGCAACCUACCUAUAACUGGGGAAUAGCCUCCCGAAAGGGAGAUUAAUACCGCAUAAUAUUAUUGAAUGGCAUCAUUUGAUAAUUAAACCUCAGGGGGUUGUAGAUGGGCAUGCGUCCGAUUAGCUAGUUGGUGAGGUAAUGGCUCACCAAGGCUACGAUCGGUAGGGGGUCUGAGAGGAUGAUCCCCCACACUGGUACUGAGACACGGACCAGACUCCUACGGGAGGCAGCAGUAAGGAAUAUUGGACAAUGGGCGCAAGCCUGAUCAGCCAUGCCGCGUGAAGGAUGAAGGCCCUAUGGGUCGUAAACUUCUUUUAAACGGGACGAAACCCCUCGACGUGUCGAGGGCUGACGGUACCGUAAGAAUAAGGGUCGGCUAACUUCGUGCCAGCCGCCGCGUAA
rnacentral:rRNA from 1 species